UAUAACUUGACAUAUGAGAAGAAUAUGUAUACAUGCUUUGCAACUUCUAUGAGAGGGAGCUGUUGAACGAGAUGUUGGUUCGGUUCAAUAAGAACUCAAUGUUCAAAUGAUGCAUUGAACGUUGCUUUUUGAUUGAGCCGUGCCAAUAUCACGUGCAUGUUGCUUCUAAAUUUCCACAAGUCUUUUGUAAACUUCUGUGAAAAGGACCUAGAGAUAUUGUUUGAUUAUGCUAGCAAUUGUUAUCUGAUUGUACUAGCAAUUGUUACCUGAUUAUGCUAGCAACUGUUACACGGGUGAGUUUUAUGAAUGUUUUCCAAAUGUGAACAUGCUUGUCCUAAACUGUAAUAAUAUGCCAUGACUGUUUUACGCAUGUACAUAACAUGUGCACUCAUACACGUGAUAUUUGUGGUCCCUUAUACGUGCAAAUACGUCGGGAUUUGUCUGGUUUAAGCUUGUGGUGUAAAGGGCAUUGACUGUAUGAUUAGUGUCAUGUGUUGACGUUCGGUUAUGAUGAUAUGGGCGGGUACAAAGUCAUAGUGAAAUAAUGUGAUUUAUAACUUGUGUAUAUUCAUGAACUCACCGGCAAUAGAUGACGUCGUCUUUUAAGCAUGUGUCACAGGUGUUAAGGCAUGAGCAUUGCUCAUAGUCCCAGACUUGUGAUAGUCUGGUAGAAAUGUAUAUCCCGGAUCGGUGUGCUCUGGUGGAAGUGUUGUUACGUCAGGCUAGACUUUGAUUAGAUGUUGUUAUUUGUGUUUCCAAAAAUUGUAUAAUACGUUUAUUAUCAAUAAGAUAAACACUUUCAGUAUCAACUGUGUCAUAAAGCAUCCUUAUCGGGUGGAGUGUCACACAUAAUCACAAGCAUGAACAAAAAGUUUUGUGAAUGUAAGAAAUCAUUGUAAAAAAUGGAAACUUUUCAAUACAAAAUCAAAUAGAAUUUAAACUAACACUUGAUUAAACUCACAUGUUGUCAUGUUGGUUUAUGUGAUAUGUGCUUUCAAGUGCAGAAGUGGAAGAAGUAAUCGAACAGCAAUUGACACACUCACUAAUGUUUGAGGCUGAUCGAGCACCAUUUAAGGGUGAAGAGAGAAUGAGGAUCCAGAUCCUGAUACAUAGAAAAUCUAAGAGAGACGUGGGUUUAAAAUUUGAAAUGUGAUUAGGGUUUUUGCUUGUCCUGCCUGAGUUUGUGCAUGUUUGAAGAGUUUUUAUGACUUUUUCCAAUUUUGGUGUGCUUUAAAUGCUUGUACAUAAGCUUUAAAGGUUUUUGUAUGUUAAAAGUAAUGUAAAAUGACUAAAUUAUCCUCUUUUUAGGGUUA